AAACUUGAGAGUUUGAUCCUGGCUCAGAACGAACGCUGGCGGCAGGCUUAACACAUGCAAGUCGAACGCCCCGCAAGGGGAGUGGCAGACGGGUGAGUAACGCGUGGGAAUCUACCCAACCCUACGGAAUAACACAGGGAAACUUGUGCUAAUACCGUAUACGCCCUACGGGGGAAAGAUUUAUCGGGGUUGGAUGAGCCCGCGUUGGAUUAGCUAGUUGGUGGGGUAAUGGCCUACCAAGGCGACGAUCCAUAGCUGGUCUGAGAGGAUGAUCAGCCACACUGGGACUGAGACACGGCCCAGACUCCUACGGGAGGCAGCAGUGGGGAAU
rnacentral:rRNA from 1 species